rnacentral:rRNA from 1 species
AGCAGCCGCGGUAAUUCCAGCUCCAAUAGCGUAUAUUAAAGUUGUUGCAGUUAAAAAGCUCGUAGUUGAAUUUCGGGGUUAGCAGGUCGGUCGUGCCAUCGGUAUGAACUGGUCUCGCUGAUCCCUCCCUCUUGACGAACUGUGAUGCCAUUAAUUUGGUGUCGCAGGGAAUCAGGACUGUUACUUUGAAAAAUUAGAGUGUUUAAAGCAGGCUCACGCUUGAAUACAUUAGCAUGGAAUAAUGAAAUAGGACGUUUGAUCCUAUUUUGUUGGCUUCUAGGAUUGACGUAAUGAUUAAUAGGGAUAGUUGGGGGCAUUAGUAUUCAAUUGUCAGAGGUGAAAUUCUUGGAUUUAUUGAAGACUAACUACUGCGAAAGCAUUUGCCAAGGAUGUUUUCAUUAAUCAAGAACGAAAGUUAGGGGAUCGAAGACGAUCAGAUACCGUCGUAGUCUUAACCAUAAACUAUGCC